rnacentral:rRNA from 1 species
AACGAACGCUGGCGGCGCGCCUAAUACAUGCAAGUCGAGCGAGAAGACGUAGCAAUACGUUUGUAAAGCGGCGAACGGGUGAGGAAUACAUGGGUAACCUACCCUCGAGUGGGGAAUAACUAGCCGAAAGGUUAGCUAAUACCGCGUACGCUCCUUGGACUUCGGUUCAGGGAGGAAAGCGAUACCGUGGGUAUCGCGCUCUUGGAUGGGCUCAUGUCCUAUCAGCUUGUUGGUGAGGAACGGCUCACCAAGGCUUCGACGGGUAGCUGGUCUGAGAGGACGAUCAGCCACACUGGCACUGCGACACGGGCCAGACUCCUACGGGAGGCAGCAGUAAGGAAUAUUGCGCAAUGGGCGAAAGCCUGACGCAGCGACGCCGCGUGGGGGAUGAAGGUCUUCGGAUUGUAAACCCCUUUCGGGAGGGAAGAUGGAACGAGCAAUCGUUCGGACGGUACCUCCAGAAGCAGCCACGGCUAACUUCGUGCCAGCAGCCGCGGU